CUGGCUAAACUUUCAAGCUCUUGUUCAAAUUAGGCUCAAGAAUAACGGAUAAGCUAAAUCCUUUCAAUAAUACAUCAUUUUAUAUUUUGAAUUUGAAUAUGAUUCAUUAGUAAAGGAAAUUUAAUUUAGGAAAAGCAAUUAUACAUAAAAUAUUGAAGGAUAAGAAUCGAGAAAGAUGGAAUAUUCUGCAUUUACAAGGAUGGUAUGUUAUGAGAAUGAGAAUUUACGAAAAUACCCUUAGUGCAACUCCAUGUAAUGAGGAAGUUUGUG
rnacentral:lncRNA from 1 species